CUAAAAACUAAAAUGUUAAAUUUUAACAUUUACUAAGUGUUGGAUUCAGUAAGUGUUAUUUUACACUUUUAAGUGUUAGAAAAUGUGACCAGUCGUGGGUCCGGACGUCUUGAAACGAUCGAAUAACACUUUCGUAAAUGGUAUUUCAACAUUACCAUGAAUGGUAAAUCAUAGUGCAUUCUGAUUGGACCGUAGUUUGAUAAAAAGUGCGAUGCGCGGUCGAAAUCCUAGCUCGGCUCGAGGACGAUGUUAUCGUGUGCCGCAUGACUUUUUCAAUCGCCUUUAAUCAUCGAUUUUAAUGGAGGAUGCCCAACGAGGGAACGUCAGUGGUGGGUAAGAAGUGGCUUCCACUAGCAGCUCCCAUGAGAUCAAUUCUGACAGCAUAACUAAAUGGAUCUUCAAAGUGCUUCAAUGUGAAGGAUAUUAUCCAAAGGCAUCCCCGUGGGAAAGAAAUAGUAUAACACAAACUCGACGAUAACGACAGAAACCAGAUGCCUUCUGACAACUAUUGUGUUUGCGGAAAUGGUCAAGAUUUUCACCUAGCGAGAUAGCACUGUUCUCAUUCAUCAUGGCAAUAUACAUGGUUCCAGCUCAAACAGCAAGAAGGAAGAGUUCACUGGCAGACUCCAUGGGAUACUUUUUGGUGACUAGACCAGUAAGUUUACAUUGAAUUGAUAAAUCAAAAAGGUUUUAUAAACAAUAUUGAAAUCUAAUGGAAAAUUUACAUUUAAGCACCUUUUUAGCUCACCUGAGCUGAAGGCUCGAGUGAGCUAUUGCGAUUCUUGUCUGUCGUCAUUAUGUUUCUUUUACAUUUUCAUCUUCUCUACAACUGGUUGGUCAUGUGGCCGGGGGGGGGGGGGCAGGGAUUGGGCUCCCAAGGGAAAAAAAUAUCCUCCAGCCCCAGAAGCAUUACAGUCAAGAUAUGUUUUGUGUAGAUACAUUAUAGAUAAAGAAUAUGUGACAAUACCUAGGUAAACCACCUUGGG
rnacentral:lncRNA from 1 species